rnacentral:piRNA from 1 species
UGGCAAUUCUGAGAGGUGCAAAGCCAUGGC